UACGGGGGGAGCAAGCGUUGUUCGGAUUUACUGGGCGUAAAGGGCGCGUAGGCGGUCGUGACAAGUCACUUGUGAAAUCUCCGGGCUUAACUCGGAACGGUCAAGUGAUACUGUCGGACUAGAGUACAGAAGGGGCAACUGGAAUCUCGGUGUAGCGGUGAAAUGCGUAGAUAUCGAGAGGAACACCUGCGGCGAAGCGGGUUGCUGGGCUGAUACUGACGCUGAGGCGCGAAAGCCAGGGGAGCGAACGGG
rnacentral:rRNA from 1 species